rnacentral:rRNA from 1 species
UGGUUAGUUUUUUAUUUAAAAUUCUAUUUGUUAUUCAUAAUAAAUUUUAGAGGAAUUGGCGGUAUUUAGUUAAAUUCUGAGGAACUUGUUUAUUUAAAUUGAUGUUACGCAAUAAAUUUUAUCUGAGAUUAUUUUAUGUAUUGCUGUUAAAUUUAUUGUUUAAUAUAAUUUUAAAAUAAGUAAAAAUUGUAAAGUUAUGUCUAGUUCAAGUCAAAAUGUAGAUUUUCUUAGGGAUGAAUAAGUUACUUUGUAGGAAAUAUGAAACUGAAAUAAAUUGAAAUAUUUAUUAAAUAAGUUGGAUUAGGGAGUAAAAAGAAAAUAGUUUGUUUUUUUGAUAUAUUUACUGGUAUGU